AGAGUUUGAUCAUGGCUCAGAUUGAACGCUGGCGGCAGGCCUAACACAUGCAAGUCGAACGGUAACAUUUCUAGCUUGCUAGAAGAUGACGAGUGGCGGACGGGUGAGUAAUGCUUGGGAACUUGCCUUUGCGAGGGGGAUAACAGUUGGAAACGACUGCUAAUACCGCAUAAUGUCUACGGACCAAACGGGGCUUAGGCUCCGGCGCAAAGAGAGGCCCAAGUGAGAUUAGCUAGUUGGUAAGGUAAUGGCUUACCAAGGCAACGAUCUCUAGCUGUUCUGAGAGGAAGAUCAGCCACACUGGAACUGAGACACGGUCCAGACUCCUACGGGAGGCAGCAGUGGGGAAUAUUGCACAAUGGGGGAAACCCUGAUGCAGCCAUGCCGCGUGUGUGAAGAAGGCCUUCGGGUUGUAAAGCACUUUCAGUUGUGAGGAAAAGUUAGUAGUUAAUACCUGCUAGCCGUGACGUUAACAACAGAAGAAGCACCGGCUAACUCCGUGCCAGCAGCCGCGGUAAUACGGAGGGUGCGAGCGUUAAUCGGAAUUACUGGGCGUAAAGCGCACGCAGGCGGUUUGUUAAGCUAGAUGUGAAAGCCCCGGGCUCAACCUGGGAUGGUCAUUUAGAACUGGCAGACUAGAGUCUUGGAGAGGGGAGUGGA
rnacentral:rRNA from 1 species